UAACCUACCUGAAUCUGCAAA
rnacentral:piRNA from 1 species